rnacentral:rRNA from 1 species
GACGAACGCUGGCGGCGUGCUUAACACAUGCAAGUCGAACGGAAAGGCCCUGCUUUUGUGGGGUGCUCGAGUGGCGAACGGGUGAGUAACACGUGAGUAACUUGCCCUUGACUUUGGGAUAACUUCAGGAAACUGGGGCUAAUACCGGAUAGGAGCUCCUGCUGCAUGGUGGGGGUUGGAAAGUUUCGGCGGUUGGGGAUGGACUCGCGGCUUAUCAGCUUGUUGGUGGGGUAGUGGCUUACCAAGGCUUUGACGGGUAGCCGGCCUGAGAGGGUGACCGGCCACAUUGGGACUGAGAUACGGCCCAGACUCCUACGGGAGGCAGCAGUGGGGAAUAUUGCACAAUGGGCGGAAGCCUGAUGCAGCAACGCCGCGUGCGGGAUGACGGCCUUCGGGUUGUAAACCGCUUUCGCCUGUGACGAAGCGUGAGUGACGGUAAUGGGUAAAGAAGCACCGGCUAACUACGUA